UGGCGGCNUGCCUUACACAUGCAAGUCGAACGGUAGAGGGGCAACCCUCGAGAGUGGCGAACGGGUGAGUAACGCAUCGGAACGUGCCCAGUCGUGGGGGAUAACACUUCGAAAGAAGUGCUAAUACCGCAUACGACCUGAGGGUGAAAGCGGGGGAUCGCAAGACCUCGCGCGAUUGGAGUGGCCGAUGUCAGAUUAGGUAGUUGGUGGGGUAAAGGCCUACCAAGCCGACGAUCUUUAGCUGGUCUGAGAGGACGACCAGCCACACUGGGACUGAGACACGGCCCAGACUCCUACGGGAGGCAGCAGUGGGGAAUUUUGGACAAUGGGCGCAAGCCUAAUCCAGCCAUGCCGCGUGCAGAAAGAAGGCCUUCGGGUUGUAAACUGC
rnacentral:rRNA from 1 species